rnacentral:rRNA from 1 species
AACGAACGCUGGCGGCAUGCCUAACACGUGCAAGUCGAACGAGACCUUCGGGUCUAGUGGCGCACGGGUGCGUAACGCGUGGGAACCUGCCCUUAGGUUCGGAAUAACUCCCCGAAAGGGGUGCUAAUACCGGAUAAUGUCUUCGGACCAAAGAUUUAUCGCCUUUGGAUGGGCCCGCGUUGGAUUAGCUAGUUGGUAGGGUAAAAGCCUACCAAGGCGACGAUCCAUAGCUGGUCUGAGAGGAUGAUCAGCCACACUGGGACUGAGACACGGCCCAGACUCCUACGGGAGGCAGCAGUGGGGAAUAUUGGACAAUGGGCGAAAGCCUGAUCCAGCAAUGCCGCGUGAGUGAUGAAGGCCUUAGGGUUGUAAAGCUCUUUUACCCGGGAUGAUAAUGACAGUACCGGGAGAAUAAGCUCCGGCCAACUCCGUG